rnacentral:rRNA from 1 species
GACGAACGCUGGCGGCGUGCCUAAUACAUGCAAGUCGAGCGGACGGUUGGGAUCUUGCUCCCAGACCGUCAGCGGCGGACGGGUGAGUAACACGUGGGCAACCUGCCUGUAAGACUGGGAUAACUCCGGGAAACCGGUGCUAAUACCGGAUAACUCUUUCCCUCACAUGAGGGAAAGCUGAAAGAUUGCAUCUCGCUAUCUCUUACAGAUGGUCCCGCGGUGCAUUAGCUAGUUUGUGAGGUAACGGUUCACCCAGGCGGCGAUGCGUAGUCGACCUGAGAUGGUUAUCUGCCACAAUAGGACUGAGACACGGCUAUGAUUCGUACGUGAGACAGCAGUAGAGGACCUUCCGAAAAGGACGAAAGUCUGACGAUGCAGCGUCGUGUGAGUGAUAAAGGUGUUCGUAUCGUAAAACCCUGUUGUCAGGGAAGAACGAGUGCCGGAGUAACGGAGGGUACCUUGCGGGUACCUGACUAGGAAGCGACGGCUAACUACGUG